UACGGGGGGUGCGAGCGUUGUCCGGAAUCACUGGGCGUAAAGGGCGCGUAGGUGGCCUGAUAAGGGUGUGGUGAAAGUCCGGGGCUUAACCCCGGAUCUGCCGUGCCGACUGUUAGGCUAGAGUGCUGUAGGGGCAGGCGGAAUUCCCGGUGUAGCGGUGAAAUGCGCAGAUAUCGGGAGGAACACCGGCGGCGAAGGCGGUUCUCUGGGCCUGUACUGACGCUGAGGAGCGAAAGCGUGGGGAGCGAACAGG
rnacentral:rRNA from 1 species